UGACUGCUUCCUGAGAGUGUUCACGGCAUGAAGGAGCCUGCAGAUGCGUGUGCUUUUGAAAAUGUGUUUGUGUGGGUCCGUGAGGGGCAGCACCAGCAAGCCUCCCUGCAGCCUGAGUGACAUCACUGCCCAGCAGAGCAUGACAGGCGCCAAAGCCACAAGCAAGCAGGGAUAUGUGGAGAAUAUUAUCCACCUUCCUGCUCCUUUAUUUAUCCUCUCCACCCAGAGGCCCCAAUCAAUCGAGGCAUCGACUCCACCAAAGCCCUGAAGCUGAGCUGUGGUAUCUGGCACCAAGAAGACAGCAACACAUCCUCUGAGGUGUGAGAGCACAUCAUCCUGCUGAAAGAGUCCACAGCCAUGAGGGAGUACCGUUUCAAUAAAAGAGUGUACAUGGUGGUCUGCAGCAAUGCUUAGGUAGGUGCUACAUGUCAACAACCACAUGAAUGUCAGGACCCAAGGUCUCACAGUAGAACUUUGCCUGAAGCAUCACACUGCCUCUGCCAGCCUGCCUUCUUCCCAUAGUGCAUCCUGGUGCCAGGUGUUCCCCAGGCAAGUGAUGCAGAUGCACUCGGCCAGCCACGUGAUGUAAAAGAAAACAUGGUUCAGCAGACCAGGCCAACUUCUUCCAUUGCUCCAUGAUCCAGUUCUGAUGCUUAAUGCCCAUGUUUGGAGCUUUUAGAAGUAGACAGGAGUUAGCAUGAGCCCCCUGACCAUGCGGAUAUGGAUACACAACAAACUGUGGUGCACUGUGUAUUCUGACAUCUUUCCAUCAGAACCAGCAGGAAAAUCUGCAACAAUUUGAGCUGUGGUAGCUCAUCUGUCGGAGUGGACCACUCCUCCCUGUUACAUCCCACCCACUAACAGGUGCUGCAGUGAAGAGAUAAUCAGUAUUAUUCAGUCCAUCUGUCAGUGGUCAUAAUGUUAUUCCUGAUUAGUGUUUAAAAGAGGGAAUUUGCUACGGUGAUGUCACCCAUUUGAAUGUGUGGUCCCGUCGUGAAGACUCAUAGUCAUCAUUUUGUCUGUCGCUAUCUUGAUGUUUUGAAACUGGAG
ensembl:lncRNA